ensembl:lincRNA
CACUGAAUCUGCUCCAAAAAAAAAAAAAAAUAUUUCUGCUUGUAGGUGCAGGUGCCCACAGAGUCCAGAAGAGGGCGUUGAAUCCCCUGGGGCUGGAAUUCAGGCAUUUGUGACAUGGGUGCUGGAAACUCAAUCUACAUCCUCUGCCAAGGCAGUACUGGCUCUUAACCUCUGAGCCACCCCUGCAGCCUCUCUGGUUUCCUUUGCCUGGUUCCCUAGGAGACAGCUCCAUUUAGAGUGCAUAGUGGGUAGCAGCACCCACCCUCGAAGUCCACCUGGCAAAGAAAGCACAGCAAGAAACCUUCACACCUGUUCUCAAAAUUGUACAAUCCAAAAAGGGAGACAAAACAAUUAAAUGAGUCCGCUCCUCAGAGCCAUUCUUCUACCCACGAUGGACCCAGAUUCUUCUACCCAUGAUGUGGCUUCAGUCUUUGCCUUCAAUUUCUGGCUUUCUAGUUCCUUCACACUAUCAAUGAAGAUGAAAGUGACACGCAUUCUCAUUCCACCAGAGAAAACAGCCAUGCUGCAACUGGGCAGGAGGAUGCGGUUUAGUCCCGUGGCCAGAAACAAGUGGCUUCAGAGGUACAUGAUCCAACUGGAGAGGAGACCCGCAGAGUAGGGCCAACAUUGCAGCAAGAAAACUGGCACACACUUUUGGAAAGCUCUGGUCAUGUUUGCAGAAAGUGGGGCUGCUUAGACACAUGUGGAAAAUGGGCUGGUAAGGUCCCGAGCUUCCAAAUGGAAGCAUCUGGGAUGUUAUAAUAAGGAAUAGGACCUUAUAGGCAGUAGAUGGUCCCUGAAGUUUUCCAUGGGGAAUGAGUUGAUCAAGUCAUAACCAAAACCUAUACAGAGUGAGAUAAAAUAAGGCCAAGGCUGUGAUUUUGUUUUUUCCAAAAGAGCAAAUUAUUUUGCUGGAGAAGAAAGAGGGAGAGGGAAAUGGAGAGAGAGAGAGAGAGAGAGAGAGAGAGAGAGAGAGAGAGAGAGAAGAGCAAUUGAGAAAAGCUGCAAAGAGAGAGAGAAGCAUUUGUUUAAAAAGACUUAGUUCCAGAGACCAGCAAGGUGCCUAAAAAAAGGAAAGAGGCAGUCUCCUUUUAGCAACACACUCCUAAGAGUUAGUAUCUAGUCCUGUGAGAAUUAACCCAAUCCCAGAGUGAACUUUCACCUCUUAAAGUCCUUGCCUCCCAACACCGCUACCACACAGUAAUCAAAUGUCAAACUGUAUCAAUGAAACCAUAUUAAAACUGUAACACUCCCAUUUCCUUCCAAUGUAUUUUUUACUUUUUCUUUUUCUUUUUUCUUUUUUUUUUCUUUUCUUUUUCUUUUCUUUUUUUCCGAGACAGGGUUUCUCUGUAGCUUUGGAGCCUAUUCUGGCACUUGCUCUGGAGACCAGGCUGGCCUCGAACUCACAGAGAUCCGCCUGCCUCUGCAAGUAGCGUUCCUUCUAUUUGGAUAAAGAGACUUCGAUUAGGAUGAAAGUUACAGGCAAGAAACACCGCAUACCUCUGAAGUGAGUUUUAUCUCCACGUCCCUCCACUUGCCCUAUUUUUUCAUAAUGGCUGUAUGAGCAGACUCAUAGGUAACUAGCCAGGGUGGCCGAGGCUUGUGAAUCCUCUUGUUCAUGGUCCAGACAGGCAGGAUGGUGCACAAGGCUCAGACCAUGUAGAGAAGUAAGUAAGUUUGGGUACGGUAGAGGAUUGUAAGAGUCAGUGAUUGCAGUACAAUGAAAAGGACCACAAAAAGUCAAUGAUGGGAUUUUAAAGCAAGUAGGAUAGAGGACCCCCAACAGGUGGGCAGGGAAGUACGUGUCAGCUGGAGAGAUCUUCUCAUAGCCUGGUAAUCAUGGGAUUGAAUCCGAGGGAGUCACAGCUCAGAACUUACAGGUACUCAGACACCCUGAAUACUAACUUUUCCUUCACCUCACUUGAACAACAGCACAUUUUUUAUGUCGACCUCUCCACACUCUUCAGUGAACUGUAAUGGGGCAUAACUGUCUUUUCCUAUGAGUAAAC